rnacentral:rRNA from 1 species
UACGUAGGGCGCAAGCGUUAUCCGGAAUUAUUGGGCGUAAAGAGCUUGUAGGCGGUUUGUCGCGUCUGCUGUGAAAAUCCGGGGCUCAACCCCGGACUUGCAGUGGGUACGGGCAGACUAGAGUGUGGUAGGGGAGACUGGAAUUCCUGGUGUAGCGGUGAAAUGCGCAGAUAUCAGGAGGAACACCGAUGGCGAAGGCAGGUCUCUGGGCCACUACUGACGCUGAGAAGCGAAAGCAUGGGGAGCGAACAGGG